UACGUAGGGUGCGAGCGUUGUCCGGAAUUACUGGGCGUAAAGCGCGCGUAGGCGGCUUUGCAAGUCGGGUGUGAAAUCCCCAGGCUUAACCUGGGAACUGCAUUCGAGACUGCAUUGCUAGAGUAUGGGAGAGGGAAGUGGAAUUUCAGGUGUAGCGGUGAAAUGCGUAGAUAUCUGAAGGAACAUCAGUGGCGAAAGCGACUUCCUGGACCAAUACUGACGCUCAUGUGCGAAAGCCAGGGGAGCAAACGGG
rnacentral:rRNA from 1 species